UACGUAGGGCGCAAGCGUUAUCCGGAAUUAUUGGGCGUAAAGAGCUCGUAGGCGGUUUGUCACGUCGGAUGUGAAAACCCGGGGCUUAACCCCGGGCCUGCAUUCGAUACGGGCUGACUAGAGUUCGGCAGGGGAGACUGGAAUUCCUGGUGUAGCGGUGAAAUGCGCAGAUAUCAGGAGGAACACCGGUGGCGAAGGCGGGUCUCUGGGCCGAUACUGACGCUGAGGAGCGAAAGCGUGGGGAGCAAACAGG
rnacentral:rRNA from 1 species